rnacentral:rRNA from 1 species
UGGCUCAGAAUGAACGCUGGUGGCGUGCCUAACACAUGCAAGUCGAGCGGUAAGGCCCCUUCGGGGGUACACGAGCGGCGAACGGGUGAGUAACGCGUGGGUAAUCCGCCUGGAAGUGGGGGAUAGCCCCGGGAAACCGGGGAUAAUACCGCAUAUGUCCGCGAGGACAAAGAUGGGGAUCUUCGGACCUGUCGCUUCCAGAUGAGCCCGCGUCCGAUUAGCUUGUUGGUGGGGUAAUGGCCCACCAAGGCCACGAUCGGUAGCCGGCCUGAGAGGGUGAGCGGCCACAUUGGGACUGAGACACGGCCCAGACUCCUACGGGAGGCAGCAGUGGGGAAUUUUGGGCAAUGGGGGCAACCCUGACCCAGCGACGCCACGUGGAGGAUGACGGCCUUCGGGUUGUAAACUCCUGUCAGGUGGGAAGAACUCCUGUUGGUGAAUAGCCUUCAGGUCUGACUGUACCACCAAAGGAAGCCCCGGCUAGCUCCGUGCCAGCAGCCGCGGUAAUACGGAGGGGGCAAGCGUUAUUCGGAUUUACUGGGCGUAAAGCGCACGUAGGUGGCAAGGCAAGUCGAAGGUGAAAGCCCCCGGCUCAACCGGGGAGGUGCCUUUGAAACUGUUUUGCUUGAGUCCGGGAGGGGGGAGCAGAAUUCCCAGUGUAGCGGUGAAAUGCGUAGAUACUGGGAGGAAUACCGGUGGCGAAGGCGGCUCCCUGGACCGGUACUGACACUGAGGUGCGAAAGCGUGGGUAGCAAACAGGAUUAGAUACCCUGGUAGUCCACGCCGUAAACGAUGGGCACUAGUUGCAGCGGGUGUCGACCCCUGCUGUGACGAAGUUAACGCAUUAAGUGCCCCGNCUGGGGAGUACGGUCGCAAG